CCAGACUCCUACGGGAGGCAGCAGUGGGGAAUAUUGGACAAUGGACCAAGAGUCUGAUCCAGCAAUUCUGUGUGCACGAUGAAGUUUUUCGGAAUGUAAAGUGCUUUCAGUUGGGAAGAAAAAAAUGACGGUACCAACAGAAGAAGUGACGGCUAAAUACGUGCCAGCAGCCGCGGUAAUACGUAUGUCACAAGCGUUAUCCGGAUUUAUUGGGCGUAAAGCGCGUCUAGGUGGUUAUGUAAGUCUGAUGUGAAAAUGCAGGGCUCAACUCUGUAUUGCGUUGGAAACUGUGUAACUAGAGUACUGGAGAGGUAAGCGGAACUACAAGUGUAGAGGUGAAAUUCGUAGAUAUUUGUAGGAAUGCCGAUGGGGAAGCCAGCUUACUGGACAGAUACUGACGCUGAAGCGCGAAAGCGUGGGUAGCAAACAGGAUUAGAUACCCUGGUAGUCCACGCCGUAAACGAUGAUUACUAGGUGUUGGGGGUCGAACCUCAGCGCCCAAGCAAACGCGAUAAGUAAUCCGCCUGGGGAGUACGUACGCAAGUAUGAAACUCAUAGGAAUUGACGGGGGGCCCGCACAAGAAGGGCGAAUUCC
rnacentral:rRNA from 1 species